rnacentral:rRNA from 1 species
GACGAACGCUGGCGGCGUGCUUAACACAUGCAAGUCGAACGGAAAGGCCCUGCUUGCAGGGUACUCGAGUGGCGAACGGGUGAGUAACACGUGGGUGAUCUGCCCUGCACUUCGGGAUAAGCUUGGUAAACUGGGUCUAAUACCGGAUAGGAGCCAUCUUUAGUGUGGUGGUUGGAAAGUUUUUUCGGUGUAGGAUGAGCUCGCGGCCUAUCAGCUUGUUGGUGGGGUAAUGGCCUACCAAGGCGGCGACGGGUAGCCGGCCUGAGAGGGUGUACGGCCACACUGGACCCGUGCGAGGGGCAGGACUCCGACGGGAGGCAGCAGUGGGGAAUAUUGGACAGUGGGCGCAAGCGUGAUGCAGCGAGGCCGCGUGGGGGAUGAAGGCCUUCGGGUUGUAAACACCUUUCGCUAGGGACGAAGCUUUUUUGUGACGGUACCUAGAUAAGAAGCACCGGCUAACUACGUG